ensembl:ncRNA F16F9.15 ncRNA
AUUAUAAAGUAAAGAACUUAUAAAACCGAAUUCACAAAUUUUUCUCUGCCACUUCUCUACUAAGCUCGAUGCUUGUAUGAAGUCUGAGUAUACAGAAGAAAUACCAACUUUUUUCAAACUUCAUUUCAAGCACUCAAUAUAUUUU